UAAACAAAUGAUCAUUUACAUAGUCCAAAAAAUUCACAUCUAAAUAUACUAGACAUAAAAACAAAAGAAACUAAAUUCAAACGGUAACUACAUCUAACAUUCACUCGAUCCUGCCCCUGCCUAGCAAAUCAGUCUCGGUAACUAGAGAAGUAACCAUACACAAUAUUAGUCAGAUUAAUCAUACAAAUAAAUAUAUACAC
rnacentral:lncRNA from 1 species